UAUUCCAGCAUUUUCGAAGUCAACGUAAUAACUAUGACAGUAACUUACCUGUAUUCGUGCCUCUGGAAGGUCGAUUUUGUUUGCAAGUCGCUCUCGUGCGAAAACAUCCGGAUAAUGUGUUCUCUCAAACUCUGUUAGAUGAAGUUUAGUAGUACUUAAGUCUUUCUAUAAAAUAAAUGCCAGUUGGUUUUAUAUUUUGUCAUUUAACGCAAUACUAAUUUUUAAGCUUUUUUGUCUAUUUGCUUACCUUUCUCCAAGGCCUCAAUCUGCUCUGUUGUGAAGCUGGUUCUGUUGCGCUGAAGUUUCCUCUUCAACUGCAGCCUCAGUUGAGACUCUUCUCCUUCAUCUCUUUCCACAUGUCCUCCUCUUCCUGGCAUCCUCCCAUCCGUGUCCACCAGGAAGUCAUCUGAAACUGAAUGAAAACGACGAGGUCAAAAUCGUCUCACCGGUGCUGUGCUGCUGGGUGGGAACGUUGCUCUGCUGAUGGUACCAGUCGUUGGAUCCACUCCAGUUUGAAGUGCUCUGGAGAUUCAGCAUGGUUAACCUCUCAAACAUCAUGCACUUGCCCACUACAGCCUCAGAAUGGAAGGAGACAAGAAGAGACAGUUUUAAUUGAAUUUAUACUCUCCAAGACACACUAAGACCUUUGAACCUCUUUUUUAUACAGACGAUUUAAAUGGAAAAGCAGUGACAGAGAAUCAAAUUGUGUGAGGAUGAAGCAUGAGUUCACACACAUUAGAGUGAAUUACAGUAACAUCAUUCAGAAUUAUUAAGCAGUUCUUUUACAGGCAAAAUGAGCCAAAAAAGAGAUUUAACUUAGACUGAAAAGUCAAAAAUUAUUAAAUGCCCAUGAGAAGGAUGCAAUACUAAUGCAAUACUAGAAAUUGCAUCGUAAAAGCAUGACCAAUGGACAGCAAAAUGCUCAUUGGAUCAGCAGGGUCAGACAAAAACAGGUGGAGAAUAAAAGACACGUUAACUGCAAAAGAAUUAAGAAUUAAGUGUGAAACCAUCAGGAACCCUUUAGUCUCCAGCACUAACAUUUUCCAGAACUGCAACCUACCCGGAGUCUCCAGAAGUGCAAGCAACUUAGGUUAGGUAAGGAAUCCUAAAAAAUGACCCCCACUUAAUAAGAAUCACAAGCUGAAGUGUUGUAAAAUACAAUACAUGAAUACUGUUUUUUUUUAUAGGCUUUCAUAGAAAGACAGAUUGAGAGUGACUCUUGAAGGACAAGCACCAGCUGGGGGCUCGUCCGGGAUAUUCCGAAGAAAAACGGGACUGAGAAGUCAUCCUGCAUCAUAGGAUUCUUUACCUAACCUAAGUCUCUGAGAUCUUGACACCUUGCACUUCUGGAGAAUCCAGGUAGGUUGCAGUUCUGGAAAAUGGUGGCGACUAAAGGGUUUCUGAUGGUUUCACACUUAAUUCUUCAUCUUAAUUCUUAAUUCUUUUGCAGUUAACAUGUGUCUUUUCUUCUCCACCUGUUUUUGUAUGACCCUGCUGACCCAAUGAGCAUUUCACUGUCCAAUGGUCAUGCUUUAACUUUGCAAUUUCUAGUAUUGCAUUAGUAUUGCAUCCUUCUCAUGGGCAUUUAAUAAUUUUUGACUUUUCAGUCUGAGUUAAAUCUCUUUUUUGUCUCAUUUUAUCUGUAAAAGAAAACCUGCCUAAUAAUUCUGCACACCUGAAUAUAAGGCGUUUUUCAUUCCCACCCUUCAUGAACAAUUAUAUAUCAUUUAUGAAUGAUUAAAUACAAAAUUAAUAGCAGUUAUUAAGAUUGAUGUGGUUUGGAAUUGGUAAAAUGCGCCUGGAAAUUAUGGAAUGGAAUUAUGGAAUUAUGCACGCAGUGUACAUUUUAAUGACAUAAUGACACAAGCUUCAGCAUGCAUGUGUUCAAUGAACUGUAUCUUUUUCCUGGGCAAUAACAGAGGAAAUGUUCAAUAGCCUUUUUGAAGCCGGAUAUAUAGAAACCGAAUAUGUGUAUACAGAAACUGACUUUUUAAAAAAAAAAAAAAAGUACAGUGACAAUGAUUCUGGUAUUAUGGAAUGGUAUAUUGCUGCCAAAACUUGUAACCAUAUAUUCCAUUAAUGAUAUAAUUUUAAUAAACCAACCUACUUGAAGUACCAAAACCUGCUUUUUACCUGCUACCUUUAAUACCUCAUGUAUAAAUUUACCAACUGUAUUAUCAUGUAUUAAUGUAUUAAUACCUCAUGUAUUAAAAAAAUAAUACAUGAUAAUACAGCGGGUAAAUUAGAAAGCCACAUGGUGAAUCAGAGUUCAUUGUAAGUGGCUUUACCAUAAAUGAGAUAAACAUUUUCUAUAUAGCAUUACAUAAUGCAAUUUACUCAUAACAAAAUAAGAAGAAACUAAAUUAUUAAUAUAAAAUAUAAUCAUAUGUCAUGCAGGGAACAUCCUUUUAUUGUUUUUCACUGUAAAUUAUACAGUAACUCACAAUUUUUAAUUAAAAAAAACAUAUCGUAUAUAACAGUAAAAUUACAUAUAUGAUAUUUUAAGGUAUCUUACAGCAGGUUCUCCAGUUACUGUAGCAUUUUUAGUCUUUUUUGGUAAGAAUUACAAAAAUUUUUUUAAAGUGUACUCUGAGAAAAAGUGGGACAACUAGAUGUUCAAAGAUAAAGCUUGAAUUCUGUUACUCCAAAAUUUUGACUGUUGUUUCUUUACCAACAUUUAUGGAUUCAAUGCAGCAGUUAACAAAAUUAUAAGGAAGUACAAGUACAAA